rnacentral:ncRNA from 1 species
GGAGAUUUGAGUAUAGCGAGGCGAAGGAUGUGAAGUCCCCACCCGCGAGAAAUCUACAAGUUAUACUGAUAGGACCCGAAAGGCAGUGAACUAUACCUGCUCUGCUUGACGCCACGGCAAACCGUGGUUGAGGAGCUAAGUCGUAUUGAUGUUCAACUCAUUGACAGGAAGUGGGUAUAGGGGCGAAAGACCAAUCGAACUGCCUGGUAGCUGGUUCCGGCCGAAAUGUCUCUCAGGACAGCGGUGUCUGCGAAUAGGAAGAUGCGGUAGAGAGGAUGUCGACCUUGUCAACAAACUCCGAAUGCGUCAUUGUGUUGCGAUUGCAUCCAACAUGAUCAUCUAUAAGACACUAGUGGGCGCCUUGUGGUAAGCAUGCGGCGCAAAAAGGGAUGAACCUAGCAGUGGGGUAAGGUGCCUAAAGGAAAACAAAGAGAAAAAGCGUUUGGCAGAUUAGGACAGUGGGGCGGUGGCCAUGGAGGUCGGCAUCCGCUAAGAAACGUGUUACAACGUACCCACCGAAUCUGCGAAUGCUGAAAAUGGAUGGCGCUUAUUUCCAUACCGAGCCCCACAUGGUACAGCCACGUAGGCCGGCACGUGUGCAUCUGAGAAGACCCGCCGUGAGGUGUGUUGGAGAUGUUCACGGAGCAGAUCUUGGAAGUAGUAGCAUCAUUUGUAUGUGCCAAUGGAGGCGGGUUUGUCCUUUUAAUAGAAGGAAGUGAUACGAGCCUAGUAAAAGGGAAUAUAGUAGAUAUUCUAUAUAGAUGUACCUAUGUGGCGACACGACAGCGACCCCAACGACGUGUGCCGGUGAGAAUUUUCCGGGACACCCAGAUCUUAUGAGCGUCACGCUGAGACUAAGAACGAGUUGGGCGGUGAAAAUGAAGGAACAUCCUCGUACCGAACCGCAACAGGACUCCUAGGUGAGAAGCCUAAGGCA